rnacentral:rRNA from 1 species
AUUAGAUACCCUGGUAGUCCACGCAGUAAACGAUGAAUACUAGCUGUUCGGGGCAAAUGAGCCUUGAGUGGCACAGCGAAAGCGUUAAGUAUUCCACCUGGGGAGUACGCCGGCAACGGUGAAACUCAAAGGAAUUGACGGGGGCCCGCACAAGCGGAGGAACAUGUGGUUUAAUUCGAUGAUACGCGAGGAACCUUACCCGGGCUCAAACGCGGCGUGAAUACUUUUGAAAGGAGGUAGUCAGCAAUGACACGCCGCGAGGUGCUGCAUGGUUGUCGUCAGCUCGUGCCGUGAGGUGUCGGCUUAAGUGCCAUAACGAGCGCAACCCCUACCGUCAGUUGCCAGCAGGUUAGGCUGGGGACUCUGACGGGACUGCCGGCGCAAGCUGCGAGGAAGGCGGGGAUGACGUCAAAUCAGCACGGCCCUUACGUCCGGGGCGACACACGUGUUACAAUGGCAGGUACAGCGGGAAGCCACCUGGCGACAGGGCGCGGAACCCGAAAACCUGUCUCAGUUCGGAUUGGAGUCUGCAACCCGACUCCAUGAAGCUGGAUUCGCUAGUAAUCGCGCAUCAGCCACGGCGCGGUGAAUACGUUCCCGGGCCUUGUACACACCGCCCGUCAAGCCAUGGAAGCCGGGAGUGCCUGAAAUGCGUGACCGCAAGAAGCGCCCUAAGGCAAUACCGGUGACUGGGGCUAAGUCGUAACAAGGUACC